rnacentral:rRNA from 1 species
CGCUGGCGGCGUGCUUCACACAUGCAAGUCGAACGGGGUCCAUCCAGUGGCAACACUGGUGAAGAUCUAGUGGCGAACGGGUGCGUAACACGUGAGGAACCUACCCCGAUCUCAGGAAUAACAGUGGGAAACCACUGCUAAUACCGGAUGCCUUCCCCGAGUCGCAUGGCUCGGCGAAGAAAGGGCUACCGGAUCGGGACGGCCUCGCGGCCUAUCAGCUUGUUGGCGGGGUAAUGGCCCACCAAGGCGUCGACGGGUAGCUGGUCUGAGAGGAUGAUCAGCCACACUGGGACUGAGACACGGCCCAGACUCCUACGGGAGGCAGCAGUGGGGAAUCUUGCGCAAUGGGC